GACCCUUUUUCCCGCCCAUUCUGAUGCUUUGUGGGAACUUCAGCAGAUCCACAUCUAUGUGCCGAAAUGCAUUAAGCUGCUGCCACGCGAUGGACUGAUUAGUUCUGUCAACAGGUGUACCUAAUAAAGAGGCCGAUUAGGGCAGACCAAACAACCCAACUCCAGCAACAGAUAUGACCUUCAAGACCAGAUAAAGGACGGAAACUGAUUCUUUGGUCCAAAGAUGAAGUUGUUUGAUGAGAGUAUCAACCAGAGAACAAAAAAACAAAAAACCUGGUGAAGAUGCCGGUUGAAGCCAGAAAGACAUUGUCCUCCUUAUCCACAGCAAAUUAGGUCCUGUAUCAACAUGGGCUGAAAGGCCACUCAGCCAGGAAGAAGCCAUAACCUCAAAAGUGACAUAUAUAACCAGAUACAGCUUGCAAAUGUACUCAGGAACAAAGACCAUCAUUUUUGGAGACAUGUCCUGUGGUCUGCAGUGGUGGCAGCAUCAUGUACGGGUUUUUUGCAGCAGGAGAGAUGGGUGCGCUUAACAAGAUAGUAAAUCCCAAGACAUCAGCCAGAAAGUUAAAGCUUGGGCAAAAAUGUGUCUUUCAAAUGGACACUGACCAUAAGCUUGCAUCCAAAUCAGUU